UCGGGGGCAGAGUGACAGGUGGUGCAUGGUUGUCGUCAGCUCGUGUCGUGAGAUGUUGGGUUAAGUCCCGCAACGAGCGCAACCCUUGAUCUUAGUUGCCAGCAUUCAGUUGGGCACUCUAAGGUGACUGCCGGUGACAAACCGGAGGAAGGUGGGGAUGACGUCAAAUCAUCAUGCCCCUUAUGACCUGGGCUACACACGUGCUACAAUGGACAGAACAAAGGGCAGCGAAACCGCGAGGUUAAGCCAAUCCCACAAAUCUGUUCUCAGUUCGGAUCGCAGUCUGCAACUCGACUGCGUGAAGCUGGAAUCGCUAGUAAUCGCGGAUCAGCAUGCCGCGGUGAAUACGUUCCCGGGCCUUGUACACACCGCCCGUCACACCACGAGAGUUUGUAACACCCGAAGUCGGUGAGGUAACCUUU
rnacentral:rRNA from 1 species